UGAGGAAUAUUGCACAAUGGAGGAAACUCUGAUGCAGCAACGCCGCGUGGAGGAUGACGCAUUUCGGUGUGUAAACUCCUUUUAAGAGGGAAGAUUAUGACGGUACCUCUUGAAUAAGCACCGGCUAACUCCGUGCCAGCAGCCGCGGUAAUACGGAGGGUGCAAGCGUUACUCGGAAUCACUGGGCGGAAAGGGUGCGUAGGCUGACUUUUAAGUCAGGCGUGAAAUCCAAUGGCUUAACCAUUGAACUGCGCUUGAAACUGGGAGUCUAGAGUUCAGAAGGGGCAGAUGGAAUUAGUGGUGUAGGGGUAAAAUCCGUAGAUAUCACUAGGAAUAUCAAAAGCGAAGGCGAUCUGCUGGGAUGAUACUGACGCUGAGGCACGAAAGCGUGGGGAGCAAACAG
rnacentral:rRNA from 1 species